rnacentral:lncRNA from 1 species
UUUUGCGCAAAUGAUCCCCGAUCACUGCAUUUGAACCCCGUUCUCCUGUUUGCCAAAAUAAUGAACCCCAUUCUCCAAUUUGAACCCCAGUCGCCUGACGAUAACUUGUGAUCGCCAUUGUGAACCCCAUCUCCAGAAAACACCUCGUGUCUCCUUUUCUCCAUUUGGACCCCGCUCUCCAGAAAAUGCCUCAACACUUCCCUUUCUCCAUUUGAA